rnacentral:rRNA from 1 species
CAGUAGCCGCGGUAAUACGGAGGGGGCUAGCGUUGUUCGGAAUUACUGGGCGUAAAGCGCACGUAGGCGGCUUGGUAAGUUAGAGGUGAAAGCCCGGAGCUCAACUCCGGAAUUGCCUUUAAGACUGCCGAGCUAGCAGGUGAGAGAGGUAAGUGGAAUUCCGAGUGUAGAGGUGAAAUUCGUAGAUAUUUGGAAGAACACCAGUGGCGAAGGCGGCUUACUGGCUCAUACUGGACGCUGAGGUGCGAAAGCGUGGGGAGCAAACAGGAUUAGAUACCCGCGUAGUCCCUGUCUCUUAUAC